rnacentral:rRNA from 1 species
GAUGAACGCUGGCGGCGUGCCUAAUACAUGCAAGUCGAGCGAACAGACGGGGAGCUUGCUCCUCUGACGUUAGCGGCGGACGGGUGAGUAACACGUGGAUAACCUACCUAUAAGACUGGGAUAACUUCGGGAAACCGGAGCUAAUACCGGAUAAUAUAUUGAACCGCAUGGUUCAAUAGUGAAAGACGGUUUUGCUGUCACUUAUAGAUGGAUCCGCGCCGCAUUAGCUAGUUGGUAAGGUAACGGCUCACCAAGGCAACGAUGCGUAGCCGACCUGAGAGGGUGAUCGGCCACACUGGAACUGAGACACGGUCCAGACUCCUACGGGAGGCAGCAGUAGGGAAUCUUCCGCAAUGGGCGAAAGCCUGACGGAGCAACGCCGCGUGAGUGAUGAAGGUCUUCGGAUCGUAAAACUCUGUUAUUAGGGAAGAACAAAUGUGUAAGUAACUAUGCACGUCUUGACGGUACCUAAUCAGAAAGCCACGGCUAACUACGUG